rnacentral:rRNA from 1 species
CUUAAAGUGGGGAGUGACAGCUGUACGAAAGAUUGGUUUUCUUCGGACACUCUUCAAGGUGCUGCAUGGUUGUCGUCAGCUCGUGCCGUGAGGUGUCGGGUUAAGUCCCAUAACGAGCGCAACCCUUACCGUUAGUUACCAUCAGGUUAAGCGUGGGGACUCUAGCGGGACUGCCACCGUAAGGUGAGAGGAAGGUGGGGAUGACGUCAAAUCAGCACGGCCCUUAUGUCCAGGGCUACACACGUGUUACAAUGGCCGGUACAAAGGGCAGCUACUUCGCGAGAAGAUGCUAAUCUCGAAAGCCGGUCUCAGUUCGGAUCGAAGUCUGCAACCCGACUUCGUGAAGCUGGAUUCGCUAGUAAUCGCGCAUCAGCCAAGCCGCGGUGAAUACGUUCCCGGGCCUU